UACGUAGGGGGCAAGCGUUAUCCGGAUUUACUGGGUGUAAAGGGAGCGUAGGCGGCGAUGCAAGUCAGAAGUGAAAGCCCGGGGCUCAACUCCGGGACUGCUUUUGAAACUGUGUUGCUAGAUUGCAGGAGAGGUAAGUGGAAUUCCUAGUGUAGCGGUGAAAUGCGUAGAUAUUAGGAGGAACACCAGUGGCGAGGGCGGCUUACUGGACUGUAAAUGACGCUGAGGCUCGAAAGCGUGGGGAGCAAACAGG
rnacentral:rRNA from 1 species